GAUGAAGAACGUAGCGAAAUGCGAUAAGUAAUGUGAAUUGCAGAAUUCAGUGAAUCAUCGAAUCUUUGAACGCACAUUGCGCCCCUUGGUAUUCCGAGGGGCAUGCCUGUUCGAGCGUCAUUAUAACCCUCAAGCUCAGCUUGGUGUUGGGGCCUGCUGCACUGGCAGCCCUUAAAAUCAGUGGCGGCGCCAUCUGGCUCUAAGCGUAGUAAUUCUUCUUGCUAUGGAGUCCUGGUGGAUGCUUGCCAUCAACCCCCAAUUUUUCUAUGGUUGACCUCGGAUCAGGUAGGGAUACCCGCUGAACUUAAGCAUAUCAAUAAGCGGAGGA
rnacentral:misc_RNA from 1 species